UACACGCCCGCAACAACGACAACGUGGCCCGCACCGUUACCUUGUUUAUCGACAUCUUUCACAGUACCUACCACGGCGUCACGACGGGGACGGCUGCCCAGUCUGAAAAGAUGGAGACAUUACAAGCAGGGCAAAGCCAGACUUUCACCUUGAGUGUGUCACCCCAGCAAGCAAUGAUGCGCCCACAGGAAGGCUUCAACUUCCAGAUCCAGGUUUUAACGAAGGUCAAGGAAACCGGAAGUCUGUUCACACAACUCUACAACGUUCAGCUGCGCCGCCCCGACCUUGUUAUAAAGGGUCCUUCCACUGUUAAAGCCGGGGAGACAGUAGAGGUGGA